GCCUUUAGGAGGGGGAUAACGGAUGGAAACAUUCGCUAAAACCCCAUAUGCCCCCGGGUGAAAAAGAGGAGAUAAGUAAAACUGAAUCACCUCUGCCUGAAGAGAAGCUCGCGGCUGAUUAGCUAGUUGGUAGGGUAAAGGCCUACCAAGGCGACGAUCAGUAGCUGGUCUGAGAGGACGAUCAGCCACACUGGAACUGAGACACGGUCCAGACUCCUACGGGAGGCAGCAGUGAGGAAUUUUCUGCAAUGGGCGCAAGCCUGACAGAGCAAUACCGCGUGAGGGAUGAAGACUUACUGAGUUGUAAACCUCGGUGCCUUAAGGAAGAAGAUCUGACGGUACUUAAGGUGGAAAGCAUCGGCUAACUCCGUGCCAGCAGCCGCGGUAAGACGGGGGAUGCAAGUGUUAUCCGGAUUUACUGGGCGUAAAGCGUCUGCAGGUGGUUUCUUAAGUCUGCUGUUAAAUCUUGAGGCUCAACCUCAAAUCUGCAGUAGAAACUAGGAGACUUGAGUAUAGUAGGGGUAGAGGGAAUUUCCAGUGGAGCGGUGAAAUGCGUAGAUAUUGGAAAGAACACCGAUGGCGAAGGCACUCUACUGGGCUAUUACUGACACUCAGAGACGAAAGCUAGGGGAGC
rnacentral:rRNA from 1 species